rnacentral:tRNA from 1 species
CGACCUGGUGGCCGGCGCGGUGCUGUGCCUGACGGUGGAAUCGGCGCUGCGCGAGCCCGAGCGCGGCUGGGGCUGGUUCCGCAUCCGGCUGGUCGCC